GAGUUUGAUCCUGGCUCAGGACGAACGCUGGCGGCAUGCCUAACACAUGCAAGUCGAACGAGUUCUCUUAUUAGAUCCCUUCGGGGUGAAGAUACUAGAACUUAGUGGCGGACGGGUGAGAACGCGUGGGUAACCUGCCCUUUUGUGGGGAACAACUUCGAGAAAUUGAAGCUAAUACCGAUACUCUUCUUUUAUCGCAUGAUGAGAGAAGGAAAGAUGGCCUCUGAACAUGCUAUCGCAAAGGAUGGACCCGCGUCUGAUUAGCUAGUUGGAAGGGUAACGGCCUACCAAGGCGACGAUAGUAGCCGGCCUGAGAGGGUGAACGGCCACAUUGGGACUGAGACACGGCCCAAACUCCUAGGGAGGCAGCAGUGGGGAAUCUUCCGCAAUGGGCGAAAGCCUGACGGAGCAAUGCCGCGUAGUGAAGAAGGCCUUCGGGUUGUAAAACUCUGUCCUUAUUGAAGAGAGGUAGUAGUGUGAUAAUGCUACUAUAGGACGGUAAAUAAGGAGGAAGCCCCGGCUAACUACGUGCCAGCAGCCCGGUAAUACGUAGGGGGCAAGCGUUGUCCGGAAUCACUGGGCGUAAAGGGCGCGUAGGCGUCUAAUAAGUCAGUGGUGAAAACUAUGGGCUCAACCCAUAGCCUGCCACUGAUACUGUUAACUUGAGUAUGGGA
rnacentral:rRNA from 1 species